rnacentral:lncRNA from 1 species
UGAAAUUGCCUUUAUCCUACAUUUAAGAAACUCCAUUUUUAAAACUUAGUUCCCUUCGUUGAUCCUUGCAAGAUGAGAGACGAUGACGUUUCAACUUCCAUUGUUUCUCUCUUUAUAACUCUUUCGCUGAAUCUUAGCCAAAGGUAUCACUUCUUAUAAUUUGGAAUCCUGCUAAAUUUUAGAUGUAAUAUUUAGUUUACAAAAGGAAAUAAAAUAACCAUACACUACAUUCUCAUCUUUAUUGUGUUAAUCAUGUUAUUCUUUUUUGGUCUCGUAUGAUGGAAACCUAUUUUACAACACAUAAAUCCAUGAUACAUUUGAGAAACUAAAAAUAAAAACUUAAGCCUUUUUCAAAAAUAAAAAAUAAAAAUAGAAAACUCUGUACUACAAAAUAUAUGCAAAGCAUAGUAAAAAACAUUUGGUUUAAAUGUGUCAGACAAGAAUAUAUUCUAAAUUUACACUAAAUACAAUCUAGAAUGCAAAAAUAUACAUACAAAAUGACAAUUUUUACCAAAUUAUACCAUAUCAUUCGCGUGUAAAUGCCCACGUAGUAUAUAGAAUAAUAUGUUCAAAUAAUAGAAAAAUUUUCAGAUCACAAUGAUCCAAAUAACAGACCACUAUUUUAAAGGAAUAGAUAAAUAUGCAAAGUUAUAAAUUUUAAAAUUACAAGUAAC